GUAAGGCCUCUCCCUCCAUCCGGUCUAAAAGAACCGGGCCUUUGACUUUGCUCAUGUCAGGACGAGGUUCUCCUCCUGUUCCUGACAUGGCUGUGGGGGCAUAUUAGGGCGUUGUCAGGCCUCUCCCCCCAUCCAGUCUAAAAGAACCGGGCCUUUGACGUUGCUCAUGUCAGGAUGAGGUCCUCCUCCUGUUCCUGACAUGGCUGUGGGGGCACAUUAGGGCGUUGUAAGGCCUCUCCCCCCAUCCGGUCUAAAAGAACCGAGCCUUUGACUUUGAUCCUGUCAGGACGAGGUUCUCCUCCUGUUCUUGGCAUAACUUCAUUUUUGAAGGGGUCAUAUCCAGUCAUACUAAAUC
rnacentral:lncRNA from 1 species